UUGAGUAGUUAUGUACUAGGUGUAGUUUGAGUAGUUAUGUACUAGGUGUAGUUUGUGUAGUUUCAGUAGUUUUGCAGUAGGUGUAGUUUGAGUAGUUAUGUACUAGGUGUAGUUUGAGUAGUUAUGCAGUAGGUGUAGUUUGAGUAGUUAUGUACUAGGUGUAGUUUGAGUAGUUAUGUACUAGGUGUAGUUUGUGUAGUUUGAGUAGUUAUGCAGUAGGUGUAGUUUGAGUAGUUAUGUACUAGGUGUAGUUUGAGUAGUUAUGCAGUAGGUGUAGUUUGAGUAGUUA